GGAAAGAGCGGCGGGNNNNNCCCGCCGAAAGGGCCUGAGGCGGGGGGCGACCGGGUCCCAAGGCCCUGGGGAAGGACCCCCCAGCCGCACGCCGGCUCCAAGUGCAAAGCAUUGACAUGGCCCCGUGAGGAGAGGGGGCGCCCUCCUUCUCCCUCGCCCGGCGGCUCAGCCGCUCUGGCCCGCGCCCCAGCUUGGCCUCCGACCCCGCUCUCGGCGGAGGCGCCGCCCGGGGCCCCUGCACUCCGGAGGGAACUGGAAAGAGAGGCCGGUGGGCGGGCGAGUCGGGAGGCAAGGGCGGCCGAGGUCCUGGAGAGGAACCCAGGUGGCGGGAGCCGGUGAGUGGAGCGGUGGUAGAGCCCUUCGGUGGGGCCGGCAUGGGAGGGAGUGGGAUGCGGCCUUGUACUCGGGAAACGCGGGGACCCCCCAGUCCGCGCCUCCCCCUCACAGGAAGACUCAGGAGGAACUUGGAAUUCUGGGCAAGCCCUGAACUCAGCCCAGUAUCCUGCCUCCUGCAUCCAGCCCUGAGACAUCCGACGGCCGGGAGAGCCGGGUCCUCGGGGCUAGGAAGGUGAGCGCAUAGUUCGCCGAGCUGGACGGCUGGUCCCGGUCCCCAGAUUCUUGACCCGCGCAACGAAUUUUCGCCGUAUCCGGUACCGGAGACACAAGUCUCCCUCAUCCUAAACAGCGGCAUCCUUUCUCCGCUCUCGGCCACAUUCCUAGAGUUUGUUUCCGGCUCUCCGAAGCGCUAGUCUCCCAAGUUCAGUACUGCAGAGAAACGAGUACGGGGGUCGGAAUGUUUGCACUCACCUGUGGUUGAAUCCAUCCCCACCCCGACUAUCGGCAGUCUUCGUUCUUCACCGGCCCCAGUAUCCCACCCCCUCUGCCACAUGGGUGUGUGUGUGUGUGUGUGUGUGUGUGUGUGUGUGUGUGUUGUGCGCUCUGUAUGGUGGUGCCCACUGUGCGCGGCGCGAGCGGCAACUUAAGGAGUGUGCCCAGAGAGUGAAGCCGUCACACACCUGCCGUGAAUCGGGCUGGGGCGCUGACACUCAGACUGAUUCCUGGUGGUCGCGUUCGAAGGAUAAGAAGGACCACGUACUGCACAUAUGUGACACUCCUGCCCGCACAACCAAUACAAGUGAGGGUGAGUUCAGCCGGCGUGGGCCCUGUGCCCGCGUGGUAGGUGUGUACAGCCCACAUCCAACAGUGAUCCAGGCAACACUGGCCGUCCACUACGCACACCAAGUCGCAGGGCACCUUUUCGCUGCACACGUGGACCUGGCAUGUAAAGCCUGCUAAGUCGAAGGAGUGCGGGUUCAGGACCGGCCGGAGUGGUUUGGCCUCCGCGACCUUUUUUCUACUUUUCCAGGCCAGUCCCGGAGCCCUCAAAGCUCCUUUACCCAGCUCGCAAAUGAGCGCCGCCCCCACAGGGUUUUCCUUCAAAACCCUGCUCUUCUUGUAGUGCCUCCUCUCUGUCCCGAACGAAUCUUUGACUCCGCUUUGCGCAGUCUGCGAAGAUGUGGCAGGAUCCGUUGCAGCUUUGCAUAGGCAAAGUCCUGCCGGCUCCAUUUAGGCGGGAUAUGGCCCCUCAGGGAGGGACAUGUGUGGGCAGGUUUGCGCAGUCAGUGAGGUGACCAGAUAAAAGGGCAGCGUUCCUUAGCCGGGAAUCCGGGUGCGGGCCUGGGAAUACGUGAAUACAUUUGCAAACUCGUGCGUGUACACAUACUUUCCUACUCGUAAGAAUGUGUGUACAACUAAUUGUAUGCAAUUCGGACAUUUUCCCGGGAAAGAUCUGUAGCUGGUCCAGAGUUCCAAGGCCCGGAGAGUUCGAGAAACACGCUGGCCUGGGUUGUUUGCCGAAGAAACCCGGCGACGGUGCAGCGGCUGCANNNNNNNNNNNNNNNNNNNNNNNNNNNNNNNNNNNNNNNNNNNNNNNNNNNNNNNNNNNNNNNNNNNNNNNNNNNNNNNNNCCCCCCCCCCCCCCCCCCCCCCCCCAGCCAUACUCUCCAGCGAGGGAUAUCCUUGCCUCCUCGAAAACCCAGGCAGGGGAGGCCCAAGAGGCCUGGGAGCGGCGCCUAGAGGUUCCCAGCUCCUGCUCGGCCCCUCCCCCACCUGGGUCUACCCCACUUCCCCUUCCCGGGAACAGGCGCCUCUUGGGGGGGUGGUCCCCGGGGCUGAGAGUUCGUGUCUCUUUAAGAGGCCCCGGGGGGCGCCUCGCAAGCCGCCCGGGGCUGGAGAGGGGAGGGCACGGGCGGGGGCGGCUGGCGCCAGGCGGCCGAGGCUCCACAACAAAGCUCCGGCCCCUGUCACUUCGCAUCGGUCGGGCCCCGCAGACGGGCGGGGGACGCGCGCUCAGCCGCCCCUCCCUCUCCCAGGCAGUCCUGGGCUCGGGCGUCGGACGGGCGCGGGCCUCCCCGCCUCUGGCGGGUGGUUGCGCGCCCUCAGUACGCUCCACGCUUCCUGCAACCAGGAAAUCGGGCUGGGAAGGCCUGGGAGGUGUGGUUCCUUGGUCCUGAGCCUCGCUGGGCUGCCCGUCUGUCCUUGGCCCCGUAACAUUUCGCGUGGUUAAGGGCCACUGAUGGGACCUGCCCCGGAUUGGGCCUCGCUGGUGUCUUUGGUCUGUGUGACCGGGCGUGGAUUCGCGUGCGCCCGCGUGGAUGGCUUAGUGGUCGAGUGGGGACCUGCGUCGUGCGACGUAGCUGGGGGCUGUCAUGAGAAGAGUACUAAGGAAAUGAGUGUGCCCGGGCUAAGCUCAGGUGAUGUGUGUGGCCUAUGCGUGUGACCAGCAGUGGAGGUGCCACUGGGCGCCUGUCCCCGUCUUGGCGUGUAGCGUGUGUAUGUGUGUGUGGUGGUGGGGCGCGGGGAGACACAGAGUUGCUUCCCAUUCCCGCUUCCCGGACCGACCCGCGCCUCCCGGAGUCUUGGCGCCAGCCAGCCCGGUUUAGCGGCCGGGCCCGGCUCCCCCGCGGUCCCGGGUCUGGCUGGGGUGGGGGCCGCGGCCUCGAUGACCCUGGCCCACAGCGGCCGGGCCUGUCCCGUCCACUUAGACAAAUUGCUGCUGACAGGCGCACAGUCUCUCUGGAGUCGCCGCCCGCCCGACGCCUCCCUCCCGACCCAAUUACCCCGCGCAGGGUCGGGCCAAGUGGCUGGGAUGGUUUGGGGGGCGUGGGGAGAGCGGGAGGCGCGACCUUUUCCAGGCCCGCGUUAUGGCCCCAGCCUUGCGCCAGGAAAGGCGCGGGGCCACUUUUUUCCGGGUAGGUUCCGGGAAGUGCCUGAGCAGCCACGGCCUGUGUGGCCCAGUCCCCAGUCUUUCAGGCUAAUGCGAAGCCGAGGUCCCGCCUGGCCGCUCUGGUCCAGGACAGACCUGUCUUUGAAGGGUGUCGUUCUACACCCGAGGGCGAGGGCGAGGGGGAGGUCAGUGGGCCGGCAACCCAGGGUGCGUCCCCUCUGAACUUUGGACGACUUCCCCAGAGUUUUGGGCACCCCGUAACCCUAAGGGGCUCCAGACUAUUAGCUGCUCUGGAGUCUUGGUCGCCGCUGUCCGCUUCGGAGCGGCGGGUCGGCAAAAGUGAGGUGUACCUCUGUGAACCUGAGUGUGCGUGGACGCACACAAUUGUGAAAUGGUGGGUGUGGGUGCUUGGGAUCACGGCAGCGCGAACAGGCCACGCUCCGGUGGCACUUGAGAGAGGGGGCAAAUCGCAGGAAGGACCCCGAGGACCAGCCCACCUGCGAGAGAAGGGCGGGGCUGGUCUGCCAGCGCUCACCAGGAUCUGGAUUUGCUUUCAAGAAACUUUCCCAGGGAGCCGGGCGGCGGCGAAGCGUCCGGGGGGCUGCGCACUACAAUCAGGGCUCCAGCUGUGCCGCACCGGCCCUCCCUCUCCCGAGGUAGAGCUACCUGGCCUGUCUGGGCAGUCUCUGGGCCUCAAACCAACCUUUUGCCUUUUUUGACCUGCAACUUCCCUUUUGCUUGCUUCAGCCCAGCUCUUCCUCUUGGCAGGGCUUGCACCUCUCCCCAUUUUACAAAUGAGGACCCUGAAGCCCAGAGGUGCAGUAAUUUACCCAAAGCCACAUGGCUACCAGUGGCAGAGCUGGGAUGGGACCUUGGGACCUUGAGAGCAAGGCUCCAUCCACUCCUUAGAAGCUGGUGAUGUCAUUGCUGUCCUGAUAGCUACCCCUACUUCUACAGCAAGACAAUACUGAGACUUUGGAGACCCACACUCAGGCUGGGCUCUUGCUUUGAAUACAAGAUAUACCAGAUGCUUUCUCCAGUUGCCGCUAGAGUUUCCAGCUCUAGGUCUGUAGGAAGGGGCUGCCUUUCCAAGUUACACAGGGACAGGGAGCAGCUUCAAAGUCAGGGGCUGGGUCUGAAAGCUCUCAGGAGUACGGGAUGGGGGUGAGUGGGAUCAGAGUCUUGGAUUGUGCGGGGGUGCAGGCCAGUGCAGAAUCUGGCCCUGUAAGGGAACCAGCCAGGGCAUGUGAGGCAGUAAGGAGCAGAGGUCAGACUAGCUGUGUGACUUUGUAACCGUGGGCAAGGCCAGGGCCUUCUCUGGGGCUCAGGCUUCUCAUCUGCAAAAUGAGGACCAAACAGUGCUCUCUUAAGUACUUUCUAGUUUAGAAAUUCUCUGAUCUGUGAACAGCAGAAAAAUGAGCACCUGAGAAACCAUUUCCAAUCCCAGACUGGCAGCUGCCUGCUCUGGCCUCUGCUUGCUUCCAGAGCUGAUACUGUUUGGCAGAGUGCUUGUGUGCCUGAAUUUGCCUUGGGACCACUGGGCCUUUUCUCAGAUCAAUCCCAGACAGUGCCCUCCCUCCUUGAGCUGCCACCCCAACUCCCAUCAGCCUCCUCACAGACCAUGAAGAUAUUUUUUCCCGCAUCAAACUGAGAGAAAGUCCAUGGUAAUUUGCCCGUUGAGCAGGUAGCACUGUGAGAAUCAGGGAGAUCACAUGGCUUCCUCAAGGUCACUCGGUCAGGCCACAAUUAGAUGCCUGUUCUAAUGGCCUCCUAGGUAAGUAAUGCCAUCAUGGAGGUCUGCUGGGCUUCUGGGGGGUGAGGUGGGAGAUUGCCCUUGGUGUUAUCUCUAGAGGAUAGGAGGCUGGCUGCUCCAGGGCCAGUGGGCAGUGAGGUCCCCCACCCGGGGGCCCAGAUCUCACUUCCAGCUGAUUACAGGCUGUGGCAGGGUCCAUAACCUCCCCAAUUAGCCAGGGGCCAGGCCCAAGGCCUCUCUGAUAACCUGAGCUCUGUGGCAGCCGCCAUGGGGCCAGCUUAUCUGGCCUCUCUUAUCCUUCCCCUUCCCCCACAUACUCAAAGAGUUGCCCUGGCUGUGAGCAGAUGAAUAACCAGAUUGUCCUGCAAGCUCAGCCGGCAAGUCCAGCCCUACACCCACCACUUUCCCUGACUAGAGGAGGCCACAGAUGUUUUGCACCCCCUGGAGGGAAAGGGCUGAGCCAGGGAGGACUCCUGACUCUAAGCUGCCAGCCUGUUCCCUGAAUGGUUGGAGAGAGCUCCCUAUAUUUGCCCCAUCCAUAAACCCACGUGGAUUCAGAGGGGCUCACCUUUCCUAGAGCUCUGGACCCAUCCCCAGGGAGCCAAGCAAUAGAUAGUAUGCACUGGCAGCCUGGUGGCACCUCUUUCGCCGUCCCUUUUUGACUGAAACACUGCUCUGGCUGGGGGUUGGGGAUGUGCCAGACACAUCAGUGUCUCUGAUUCAGCUGAAAUGGUGAAAAGCUGCUGCUAGUCUGACAGCCCCCACUGGCUGUGCCCAGACCUCCUUAUGUUCCCAGCCAUGCCUCUCUAGGGCAUGUGAUUCCUCACCUUGCAGGUCCCCAGACAGGAGGGACUGGCUUAAGCCACCCAUCUACUCAGCCUACAGAGCCUAGUUUGAUUCAGGUCCCGCUUCUCCCAAGAUGCCCAGCUGACCCGGUGGAGGGAACUGAGGAUGAAGUCUCUUUUCAGUUGUGAGGACUGGAUGGGAUGCAUGUGAAAGGAGCAGAGGCUCUAGAUGCUGCUCCAGUUCUGGCUGGAUGGUUGCAUGGGGAUCCCUGCUUGUUUGUGAAUUCAACUCAUCUGCAACCAUUACAUUAAACUUUACCCCAAACC
rnacentral:lncRNA from 1 species